rnacentral:rRNA from 1 species
UACGUAGGUGACCAGCGUUGUCCGGAUUUACUGGGCGUAAAGAGCGCGCAGGCGGUCGUUCAAGUCGAGUGUGAAAGCCCCCGGCUCAACUGGGGAGGGUCAUUCGAUACUGAUCGACUUGAAGGCAGGAGAGGGAAGUGGAAUUCCCGGUGUAGUGGUGAAAUGCGUAGAUAUCGGGAGGAACACCAGUGGCGAAGGCGACUCCUGGCCUGUCUGACGCUGAGGCGCGAAAGCUAGGGAGCAA